UCUCCGUAGGUGAACCUGCGGAAGGAUCAUUCAUAAUAAAGUGUUUUAUGGCACUUUUUAAAAAUCCAUAUCCACCUUGUGUGCAAUGUUAGAUCUCGUCAAUCUUGGCGAGAUUUUUAUACAUCAACUCAUUCUUUAACUAAUUUGUCUGAAAGAUAUUAUGAAUACUUAAUUCAAAAUACAACUUUCAACAACGGAUCUCUUGGCUCUC
rnacentral:misc_RNA from 1 species